rnacentral:rRNA from 1 species
AGAGUUUGAUCAUGGCUCAGGACGAACGCUGGCGGCGUGCUUAACACAUGCAAGUCGAGCGGUAAGGCCUUUCGGGGUACACGAGCGGCGAACGGGUGAGUAACACGUGGGUGAUCUGCCCUGCACUCUGGGAUAAGCCUGGGAAACUGGGUCUAAUACCGGAUAUGACCGCAUGAUGCAUGUUGUGUGGUGGAAAGCUUUUGUGGUGCAGGAUGGGCCCGCGGCCUAUCAGCUUGUUGGUGGGGUAAUGGCCUACCAAGGCGACGACGGGUAGCCGACCUGAGAGGGUGACCGGCCACACUGGGACUGAGACACGGCCCAGACUCCUACGGGAGGCAGCAGUGGGGAAUAUUGCACAAUGGGCGGAAGCCUGAUGCAGCGACGCCGCGUGAGGGAUGAAGGCCUUCGGGUUGUAAACCUCUUUCAGCAGGGCACGAAGCGUGAAUGACGGUACCUGCAGAAGAAGCUAGAG